AUCUGGGGCCAUACCAACUGCAUCCCGUUCGAUCUGCGCAGAUCUGCGCAGUCAACACUGUAGGGCCGAGUCAGUAGUGCGGUGGGGGACCACGCGCGAAUACUCUGGUGCCCAGGUU
rnacentral:rRNA from 1 species